AGGCAAUGCCUCAGUAAGAUGACACAUUCAAAAUAGGAGAAUUUGAGAAAGGUUUACUUAGGAAGUUGUGGGUGGGGAGUAAAGAACUACAAGGCAUCGUGUUAUACUGGGAGAAUACCAGCAGAGCUCAUGCCACUCCCAGGCCCAAAAGGGUGAAGGGAGGACAGGGUUAGCAGAACCCAAAAAGAAAGAAUCAUGUAGAGAAUGACACCCAGAGAGGAGCAGUGACUCUCACUUGAAGGUCACUGUGGUGAUAUCAUAGGAAGAAUUAACUACAGUCUCCUCCUUCCCUUGCUUUAGCCAGAGAGCAAGAGGAAAAGUUGGUGUGGUCCAUACAGGUCAGCCUCUUUGCAGGGGCUGGAAGAAUGAAUGGAGGAUGCAGAGAAGCCAGCAAACAAGGUACCUGCCACACGUACUGUUUACAACAGCUGCGCCUAAUUUAAAGCAACAAAACUUCAAAGAAAGGAAAGAACAUCUUCUGGAAACAUCAGGAUGAUCUGACUCCAGGCACUGACACCAUCAUCCAUCAGAAGUCAUGACCUGUGAUUUGAGGGUAUGAAUUAGAUCGUAGAUUCUCAAGAGAAUUGAUGCCCUUUGGCAACUGUAAAAUGAAGAACUCUGUAUCAUUUUGUUGAGGAUGAGUGAUGUAGUUUUUUGUUUUUGUUUUUUAAUACGAUGGCUUUAAGUGAAGACAGGGCCACACAAAUUGCAUGACUAACUCCUCUCAAAAGUUAGAUAUCUUUUGCAGCCUACUCACUGAAGUCAUUUACAGUUCUUAAUACCAGCAAAGUGGAUAUAAUUGCACAGUGGGAUUUAUUCUAGAUGAAUCAGGAUAUGGGGGAGAAAAAUGGACACAUUAAGAAGAAAAAUUAAAUUGAGCACUUAAAAUAAUUGACCAAAGAAAAUGGUCAAUGUAUGUUUUAUCUUUUCUUCCUUUAAAAAUACAUGUUGUAUGGAAAUUGUGAUGAGGGGAAAAAAAGAAAAAAAAAAGAAAAAACCCACACACAAUUAAAAGGGACAGGUACCUGACUGGGUUUUCCCAUCUCUUCCCCCAAAUGUCCAGCUCACAGGAACUCCUAUGGUCCACCUCUGUGCAGAGAUGAAAAUCUUUCCUUUCCAGAGUCAAAGUCAGCUCUCUGAAUGUUUAUAGCCUAAAAUUAGUGUCUGUGAAGCUGGUAAGACUGUUGCUUUGAACAUUGGUGUUUUAGGCAGUUUCCAGGUAACACUGAAAUGACCGUUUCUUAGCACUUGCCAGACCUAUGAACAAUUGUUAAAAUCUAAAUUAAACCCAUAUUAAACUGACUUUUUUUUUUGACAUCAAAGUGAUGCCAAGAUACCUGAUAUGAUACCCAGAGUGAGUAUGGAAAAGAGGGACUCUCACUAUGCUUUUGGGAAAAGUGUAAAUUGACACAACUUUUUCAAACAAACUUGAUAAAAUGUACUUCCAAGUCUUAAAGCAGUCAUUUAUUUAAUCAAGAGUAUUUAUUGAGUGUCUUCUAUAUCAUGGGCUGGCAAUUAUAUUCUAUCAGUGAGUGAAUAGACAUUACACAGAUAAUUACAAGUGCAAUGACCCCCAUGAAAGGAAAGUCAAAAGGACCUGAGAGAGAGGCAUCAGUCCUGCGAAAGUAAUUAGUCUACAGUAAGGUAUAAACAGUGAGAACUACCUAAAUGUCCCCAGGCACUGGAUUAAAUAAAUGGUGGUAUAUCCAUGCA
rnacentral:lncRNA from 1 species